rnacentral:rRNA from 1 species
GAUGAACGCUGGCGGCGUGCCUAAUACAUGCAAGUCGAGCGAACAGACGAGGAGCUUGCUCCUCUGACGUUAGCGGCGGACGGGUGAGUAACACGUGGAUAACCUACCUAUAAGACUGGGAUAACUUCGGGAAACCGGAGCUAAUACCGGAUAAUAUAUUUAACCGCAUGGUUCAAUAGUGAAAGACGGUUUUGCUGUCACUUAUAGAUGGAUCCGCGCCGCAUUAGCUAGUUGGUAAGGUAACGGCUUACCAAGGCAACGAUGCGUAGCCGACCUGAGAGGGUGAUCGGCCACACUGGAACUGAGACACGGUCCAGACUCCUACGGGAGGCAGCAGUAGGGAAUCUUCCGCAAUGGGCGAAAGCCUGACGGAGCAACGCCGCGUGAGUGAUGAAGGUAUUCGGAUCGUAAAACUCUGUUAUUAGGGAAGAACAAAUGUGUAAGUAACUAUGCACGUCUUGACGGUACCUAAUCAGAAAGCCACGGCUAACUACGUG